UACAGAGGUCUCAAGCGUUGUUCGGAUUCAUUGGGCGUAAAGGGUGCGUAGGUGGCGCGGUGAGUCGGGUGUGAAAUCUCGGAGCUUAACUCCGAAAUUGCAUUCGAUACUGCCGUGCUUGAGGACUGGAGAGGAGACUGGAAUUUACGGUGUAGCAGUGAAAUGCGUAGAUAUCAAGUGGAACACCAGUGGCGAAGGCGAGUCCCUGGACGACUCCUGACACUGAGGCACGAAAGCUAGGGGAGCAAACAGG
rnacentral:rRNA from 1 species